rnacentral:lncRNA from 1 species
CAAAGUUUGUUUCUGCAUGCUGUUAAUCAGAAGAAAAAAUAUGAGGGUAUAUCUACGGAACUUUUGGCAAAUUACGGGCAUGAAGAUAGAAAAAAUUUAAAAAAUUAAGUAAAAUGCGUCAUCGCAAAAUGAAGGUUGUAAUUUUACCUCAAAUUGGGAGAUGGUGUCGAAUAAGUUUUAAUAUCAUGCUAUUAAAGUAUUCAUGCUUGAAUUGUGGUAUUUUAGAACAAAAAACUGCGAGAGGCAUCACAAGAGCAUUUAUGACGCAUGAAAAUAAUUGUCCACCGUGCCAACGUUUUAACGAGGUACGGCAGCCACAGUUUUCAGAGAUAAAAGUUUUACAGAAUGCCAUAAAAUUGGGAAUCAGCUUUUACAUGAAAUAUUUUGGCAACCAUGCUUUCAUGAAGGAGCAACAGGUGAAUAACAGCAUUGAAAAUAAAUGCAAAAGUCCAUGGUUGGAAAUUGUGCAUUUUUUGUCGCCUUUGCGUGUGUUGUAGUUAUGAAAAAAGCAUCAGAAUGUAUCAUAGAUGCGAAGGCAGACGAGGGCCUCUUUAAAUGGAAAAUAUCUAGUUUUAGAGCCAUGUAUCCGCUGCUUUGACGCGAAAAAGUUGGGCUUCACUUAAGUUAAACCUGAACCUUCCCAAAGAUUCCCAUUUUGAAAACUACGUAUCGCGUGUGAAAAUGUGAUGUGUGUCCUACUUAUCGUAACAUUCCUAACGGCUAGCUCCAAUUUCUCGCAUGCACUCAUCCAUCGUUCGGAGUGGAUAUCGUUUGAGCGAAAUGAUGUGCCGAACGAACAUCGAGACGAGGGCCGGGAACGCUGGCCAAAAUCAAAUCGGAGGAUGAGACGAUCUCGGAGCCGCGUCUCGAAAUCCGUGGCAUUAAAAAGAUGCUCAGUACAGGGAAGAAAAAGUUCAUGGAGAACUCUUACGUGCAAACUGUUGGUCAAGCAGCAAAUUCAGGGAGGAAAAAGGUCAUGAGGAACUCUUACGUGCGAACUGUUGGUAAAGCAGCUAAUUCAGGGAGGAAAAAGGUCAUGGAUAAAAACAACUACAUUAGCCUAAUGUCGGUCUUCGCACCAGUUGGCAAAGCCAUCAAAAACCUCGAAAAGAUGACCGAGGACAAAGUCAAGAGAAAAUUCGUCAAGAUGAUGAUCAACACGCCCCCGGAGAAAAUCCAUAAGGUGCUGGCCAACAAACAAUUCCAGACGAUUAUCAAACAGAUUGUGCCGGAACAGAUUUACCCGACCCCUCACAACUUCCACGAUGACGUCAAUGGGCUCUUCCUCCAAGCCCUGUUGUCCCAGGAGGACGGGCCGAAAUUCCUGGAUUUGAUCAAGGUGGUGCGGACGAGCAUGCGUGUCCGGAGAUCGGAGAGUGGCCGGAUCGACUACUAUAUAAAUAUGUGGAGAUUGAUGGUGGCGGGCGGCAAGCGUUACCUCCGGGAGGACCGCCACGAGAUGCUCCGCAGGCUCCUCCACCUCAUUUCGGUUUUAAGAGCAUCCAAAGAGAAAUACGGAGAGUACCCCGAGUCCAAGCCCCAGAGCCCCAAUAACAAGAGUCCUGGGGACUCCGGCCGUUCUGACGAGUCUAUUCCCUCCGACGGUCCCGAAGGUGAUGAUAGCGGCUCUGAGCAUUCCGGACGUUCGGAGAAUGACGGCCACGCUGAGAAAUAUGACCGUCAAUUAUCUGGCUCAUCUUCUCCUAGGAGGUCGUCGUCAUUCAAAAAGUGCUGA